GAUGAACGCUGGCGGCGUGCCUAAUACAUGCAAGUCGAGCGAACGGACGAGAAGCUUGCUUCUCUGAUGUUAGCGGCGGACGGGUGAGUAACACGUGGAUAACCUACCUAUAAGACUGGGAUAACUUCGGGAAACCGGAGCUAGUACCGGAUAAUAUUUUGAACCGCAUGGUUCAAAAGUGAAAGACGGUCUUGCUGCCACUUAUAGAUGGAUCCGCGCUGCAUUAGCUAGUUGGUAAGGUAACGGCUUACCAAGGCAACGAUGCAUAGCCGACCUGAGAGGGUGAUCGGCCACACUGGAACUGAGACACGGUCCAGACUCCUACGGGAGGCAGCAGUAGGGAAUCUUCCGCAAUGGGCGAAAGCCUGACGGAGCAACGCCGCGUGAGUGAUGAAGGUCUUCGGAUCGUAAAACUCUGUUAUUAGGGAAGAACAUAUGUGUAAGUAACUGUGCACAUCUUGACGGUACCUAAUCAGAAAGCCACGGCUAACUACGUG
rnacentral:rRNA from 1 species